rnacentral:rRNA from 1 species
GGAUGAGUGGCGAACGGGUGAGUAACACGUGAGUAACCUGCCCCUGACUUCGGGAUAAGCCCGGGAAACUGGGUCUAAUACCGGAUACGACUGCCGGACGCAUGUCUGGUGGUGGAAAGUUUUUUCGGUUGGGGAUGGGCUCGCGGCCUAUCAGUUUGUUGGUGAGGUAAUGGCUCACCAAGACGACGACGGGUAGCCGGCCUGAGAGGGCGACCGGCCACACUGGGACUGAGACACGGCCCAGACUCCUACGGGAGGCAGCAGUGGGGAAUAUUGCACAAUGGGGGAAACCCUGAUGCAGCGACGCAGCGUGCGGGAUGACGGCCUUCGGGUUGUAAACCGCUUUCAGCAGGGAAGAAGCGCAAGUGACGGUACCUGCAGAAGAAGUACCGGCUAACUACGUGCCAGCAGCCGCGGUAAUACGUAGGGUACGAGCGUUGUCCGGAAUUAUUGGGCGUAAAGAGCUCGUAGGUGGUUGGUCACGUCUGCUGUGGAAACGCAACGCUUAACGUUGCGCGUGCAGUGGGUACGGGCUGACUAGAGUGCAGUAGGGGAGUCUGGAAUUCCUGGUGUAGCGGUGAAAUGCGCAGAUAUCAGGAGGAACACCGGUGGCGAAGGCGGGACUCUGGGCUGUAACUGAC